UUCUGUGGCUCAGUUGAUUAAAGCACCGGUCUAGAGAGUACGAAGUCGUGGGUUCGAAUCCCACCAGAA
rnacentral:tRNA from 1 species